ACAAGCAUACUUUGAUCAUAGAUCUUAAUAGUGCAUAUUUUGAUCUUAAUUGUGCAUACCACGGAGGUCUCAGUACUACUGCUACGACAGAUAACGUCCUGCUGUUACAGUUACCUCAGAAAAUGUUCACGAUAAACAACAGCUAUGACGUGUCUGAGGUGUCGCUUUGUUAUUAGUGUGGUAGGAGUACAUAGAUCUUUACAUGGAAGUAACUAUCUGAACCACAGACCGUGACAAUUCCCAGCAGCAUCCAGUAGCAGACCUGCAGUACACACACUAGCUUGAUGCCAGUUUCUUAGAUUGUAUCGCUGACGGAGCAAAAUUAGCAACGGGUCGCUUUGUCUGAAAGGUGAUAUUACUAUACUAUAAUUUAACAAGCAUCUAUCCCAGCUCGUCUAGUUCAGUUGCCAGCCGCCGGCUGCAGAUUCAGACGUGUGUGAUACCGACAACACAUGCAUGCCAUUGCCAUCCAAUCCAACGUACCCCGCGCACCAGUCAUCGUAACCGCCGCCGCCGCCCCGCGGCUGACUCCGAUCCGAGUCCGAGCUUCGCGUCGAGCUCAGCAGCCCCGUCUCGCCACACGUAGUUGAGUCCCACGAGCAGGUCCGUGACCGCGGCCUCCGUCUUCCCCCGGUCCGCGAAGUGGAGCGUCUGCAGCAGCAGCACGGCGGCGGCGCCGCCGCCGCCGCUGCCACAAGGCGCGACGCUCCGCUGCCCGAAGCUCCUCUCGGCCUGCCACCGGGCCGUGUUGCGCGCGAGCGGC